rnacentral:rRNA from 1 species
AUAUCAAUAAGCGGAGGAAAAGAAACCAACAGGGAUUGCCCCAGUAACGGCGAGUGAAGCGGCAACAGCUCAAAUUUGAAAUCUGGCCCCGUCCGGGGUCCGAGUUGUAAUUUGCAGAGGAUGCUUUCGGCGAGGCGCCUUCCGAGUGCCCUGGAACGGGCCGCCGGAGAGGGUGAGAGCCCCGUACGGUAGGACGCCGAGCCGGUGUAAAGCUCCCUCGACGAGUCGAGUAGUUUGGGAAUGCUGCUCUAAACGGGAGGUAAACCCCUUCUAAAGCUAAAUACCGGCCAGAGACCGAUAGCGCACAAGUAGAGUGAUCGAAAGAUGAAAAGCACUUUGAAAAGAGAGUCAAACAGCACGUGAAAUUGUUGAAAGGGAAGCGCUUGUGGCCAGACUUGCGCCCCGGCAGCUCAGCCGUCCCUCGCGGGCGGUGCACUCUGCCGGGCGCAGGCCAGCAUCAGCUCGUGGCGGGGGAGAAAGGCGGCGGGAACGUGGCUCUUCGGAGUGUUAUAGCCCGCCGCUAUGCCCUACCGCGGGCUGAGGUACGCGCACCGCAAGGAUGCUGGCGUAAUGGCCAUCAGCGACCC